UACGGAGGGGGCGAGCGUUUAUUCGGAAUUAUUGGGCGUAAAGGGCGCGUAGGCGGCUGUACAAGUCAAAGGUGAAAUCCCUCGGCUCAACUGAGGAACUGCCUUUGAAACUGUACGGCUUGAGGCCGGGAGGGGGUAGCGGAAUUCCCAAUGUAGCGGUGAAAUGCGUAGAUAUUGGGAGGAACACCAGUGGCGAAGGCGGCUACCUGGACCGGUUCUGACGCUGAUGCGCGAAAGCGUGGGUAGCAAACAGG
rnacentral:rRNA from 1 species